GUGUGGGUAGUUUGACUGACAUAAGGGGUGUGUGGGUAGUUUGACUGACAGGGGUGUGUGGGUAGUUUGACUGACGGGGGGGUGUGGGUAGUUUGACUGACAGGGGGGUGUGGGUAGUUUGACUGACAUAGUGGGUGUGUGGGUAGUUUGACUGACAGGGGUGUGUGGGUAGUUUGACUGACAGAGGGGUGUGUGGGUAGUUUGACUGACAUAGUGGGUGUGUGGGUAGUUUGACUGACAUAGGGGUGUGUGGGUAGUUUGACUGACAUAACGGGUGUGUGGGUAGUUUGACUGACAUAAGGGGGGUGUGGGUAGUUUAACUGACAUAAGGGUGUGUGGGUAGUUUGACUGACAUAAGGGGUGUGUGGGUAGUUUGACUGACAUAGUGGGUGUGUGGGUAGUUUGACUGACAGGGGUGUGUGGGUAGUUUGACUGACAUAGGGGUGUGUGGGUAGUUUGACUGACAGGGGUGUGUGGGUAGUUUGACUGACAUAGUGGGUGUGUGGGUAGUUUGACUGACAUAAGGGGGUGUGGGUAGUUUGACUGACAGGGGGGUGUGUGGGUAGUUUGACUGACAUAAGGGGUGUGUGGGUAGUUUGACUGAUAGGGGUGUGUGGGUAGUUUGACUGACAGGGGUGUGUAGGUAGUUUGACUGACAGGGGUAUGUGGGUAGUUUGACUGACAUAAGGGGUGUGUGAGUAGUUUGACUGACAUAGUGGGUGUGUGGGUAGUUUGACUGACAUAGGGGUGUGUGGGUAGUUUGACUGACAGGGGUGUGUGGGUAGUUUGACUGACAGGGGUGUGUGGGUAGUUUGACUGACAUAAGGGGUGUGUGGGUAGUUUGACUGACAGGGGUGUGUGGGUAGUUUGACUGACAUGAGGUGUGUGGGUAGUUUGACUGACAGGGGUGUGUGGGUCGUUUGAGAAAUCUGUUAGUUUCAGUCUUGUAAUUCCGUGAGGGUUUUGAAAUGUUCUGUAACUGUGUUCUAGCUGUUAUAUCAAAGCACAAUUACACCGAUAUGUAGAGGUGGUGAUGUAAAAUAUAAAGUAGAGGAAUUCUUAUGCAUAUUACCAAUCUCAUUAUUAUUACUGUAUAGACUUUUUAAGUUUGUUUUCUUUACUACAGCAUAGGGUUACAAAAUUUGCAGUAAAUUUCCCCCAAAAUGUCCAGGUGUUUUCAGAAAUCCCCGUUUUGAAGAUUCCCCGGUAUCAGGAGAGAUCUUCCUGUUGGGAACCCGCCGACCGGGGAUCUUCAGAAGACCUGGGAAUUUCAAACCCGACUACAGAAACAUUUUACAGGCUGUUCUAUUUAUCUAAUAAAACAUAUUAUAAUCAAAAUUCAAAUAUCAUUUUUUUUUAACAUUUGUUAUUUUAAUGGAGGUCUCAUUUCUCGUGUUUUCUGACUUGUUAUGGAAAUGAUGUUUUCAAUAUAAGCAGAGGAAGGUUAUAGUGUGCGUGCAUCCGUGCAUGUGUGAAUGCAUAAAAUACCUUGCCAAAGCACAUUUGAUUGAAUCAGACCCAUUCUUGAAUUUUAUUUCCACUUUUAGUUGCUCCGUAACUGAUUUAAAUAUGCACCAAUUCGUGUAGCUAAAGCCUUUGACUUCAUUAACUAUGUUCAUCACAUACUCCCCCCUAUCUCCAAUUCCUCAGCCCUCCAAUUCCAUUCAAUCUAUUAGACAGAGAGGGAGUCAUUUAUACUGAACAAGAAUAUAAAAACAACAUGCAACAAUUUCACCUAUUUUACUGAGUUACAUUUCAUAAUAAGGAAAUAAAUUCAUUAGGUCUUAA